rnacentral:rRNA from 1 species
UACGAAGGGGGGCUAGCGUUGCUCGGAAUCACUGGGCGUAAAGCGCACGUAGGCGGCUUACUAAGUCAGGGGUGAAAUCCUGGAGCUCAACUCCAGAACUGCCUUUGAUACUGGUGAGCUUGAAUCCGGGAGAGGUGAGUGGAAUUCCGAGUGUAGAGGUGAAAUUCGUAGAUAUUCGGAAGAACACCAGUGGCGAAGGCGGCUCACUGGACCGGUAUUGACGCUGAGGUGCGAAAAGCGUGGGGAGCAAACAGG